AAGGCCGUGUGCUUCUCUAAACCUCUCUGUGAAAGCUGCUACCCCUAAAAACGUUCACCAUCGUAAGCAUAAGAAGCAAUUUAUUGAGCCUGAGCCAUACCAGAAAGGCUUCCCGCCCAAAAGACGCAACCAUUCCUUUGUUCCGGUUUCAUCUUACCCGGCCACUGUAUCUUAUGAUCCUAACACAGUUGCAGAGCAACUAAAGGCUACGGAAGACUUAGUUUCAUUGUAUUUGACG